rnacentral:rRNA from 1 species
UGGUUAAGCUACUAAGAGCGCACGGAGGAUGCCUAGGCACUAGGAGCCGAAGAAGGACGUGGCGAACAACGAAAUUGCCUCGGGGAGCCGUAAGCAGGCUUUGAUCCGGGGAUGUCCGAAUGGGGAAACCCGGCUGCGGUAAUGCGCAGUCACUUCUUACUGAAUACAUAGGUAAGUAGAGGCAUACCAGGGGAACUGAAACAUCUAAGUACCCUGAGGAAGAGAAAACAAUAGUGAUUCCGUCAGUAGCGGCGAGCGAACGCGGAUUAGCCCAAACCUACGGACUUGUCCGUAGGGGUUGUAGGACGUCUCACAUGGAGUUACAAAGGUGUUGGUUAGGCGAAGAGGUCUGGAAAGGCCCGCUAGAAGAGGUAAAAGCCCUGUAACCAAAAAUCAGCACCCUCCGAGACGGAUCCUGAGUACGGCGGGACACGUGAAACCCCGUCGGAAUCCGGCAGGACCAUCUGCCAAGGCUAAAUACUCCCUAGUGACCGAUAGCGAAGCAGUACCGUGAGGGAAAGGUGAAAAGCACCCCGGAAGGGGAGUGAAAUAGAACCUGAAACCGUGCGCUUACAAAAAGUCAGAGCCCUCUAUAUGGGUGAUGGCGUGCCUUUUGUAGAAUGAACCGGCGAGUUACGUUCACGUGCAAGGUUAAGUCGGGAAGACGGAGCCGCAGCGAAAGCGAGUCUGAAUAGGGCGAAUAAGUACGUGGUCGUAGACCCGAAACCGUGUGAUCUACCCCUGUCCAGGGUGAAGGUGCGGUAACACGCACUGGAGGCCCGAACCCACGCACGUUGAAAAGUGCGGGGAUGAGGUGGGGGUAGCGGAGAAAUUCCAAUCGAACUCGGAGAUAGCUGGUUCUCCCCGAAAUAGCUUUAG